rnacentral:lncRNA from 1 species
ACUGGGUCAGGACCUUUCCAUUGUCCUGUUAGAAUAUCCUUCCAAAGUACCUUAGGCUUAUGUACAUUUUUUGGAUACAUAUGUCUUUCUGUAGCACUAAGCCCUGAUGAAUCCAAAUUUAAAAAGUUUAGAGUAAAAAGGGUUAUUUUAAGUUUAUCUUUGGGGGAUAUAUACCCCUUUCCAAUUCCCUCUUUUUGCUUUAAUAAGUACAUUUUAAUAGUUUGAUGAGCUCUUUCAACUAUGCCUUGUCCCUGUGGAUUGUAUGGGAUUCCUGUUAUAUGAGUAAUACCAAAUGAUGAGCAAAAUUGUUUAAAAGAGGUAGAAGUAUAACCAGGACCAUUAUCUGUUUUUAACUGUUUUGGAACGCCCACAGUGGCAAAAUUUUGUAAGCAAUGAGCUAUAAUAUCUUUAGCUUUUUCUCCGGCAUGAAGGGAGCCCAUAAAAAAUUCGGAAGAAGUAUCAACAAUAACAUGUAAAUAUUUUAAUUUUCCAAAUUCUGGCAAGUGUGUGAUGUCCAUCUGCCAAAUAUGGUUAGGUAUCAGUCCUCUAGGAUUGACUCCAAGAUUAACUUGUGGUAAAAAUGUCACACAAUUUUGACAUUGUUUUAUUAUAUGUCUAGCUUUUUCCUUAGUUAUUUUAAAAUUAUUUUUUAAAGUAUUAGCAUUGACAUGGAACCUUGUAUGAAAAUUUGAAGCUUCUUCUAGUGUAGAGAAAAUGUGUAUGUCAUGUGUAGUUUUUUCUGCUAAAUCAUUGCCCAAACUAAGGGCUCCAGGCAAUUCUGUAUGUGCCCUGAUACUUCCUAUAAAGAAUGGAUCUUUUCUGUCACAGAUUAGACUUUGUGUAGUGGAAAACAAAGAGAAAACAGUAGAGGAAGGAGAAAUCCUACCAGCAUUUUCAAGGGAUAUUAUACCAUUAACUAUAUACUGAUUAUCAGAAAUUAAAUUAAAUACAGAAUCUUUAAACAUCACAAAAGCUUGUAAUACUGCAUUAAGCUCUACCUUUUGAACUGAUUGUUUGGGUACUAAAAAUGUAAAAGUUUGAUCAGGGGUAACUACUGCUGCUGUACCAUUAUUUGACCCAUCAGUGAAUAUAUUUGGAGCAUUCAUGAUAGGUGUUUUUCUUGUCAUUUUUGGAAAAAAACUACAGAAUGCGAAGACCAAAAAGACAACAAAGGAUUAGAUGAUAAGUGAUUAUCAAAUGAAACAUUAGAUUUACACAUGAUUAUUGUCCAAGUAUUUAACUCAUUAGCUAACUCAUCAAUUGGAUCCAUAGUAUAUGGAGUAAUAAUUUUCUUGGGAGAAAUUCCAAACACUCCCUUUGCUGCUUUUAUUCCUUUGAGUAUCAAUUGUCCUACAGCCUCAGGAUACCUAGUAAGAAUAGUGUUAGGAGAAUAAGAUAAAUGUAUCCACAAUAAUGGACCUUCUCGCCAAAAUACUCCUGCAGGAAUGUUGUUUGUUGGUAUUAUGAUAAAUAAUAAAGGCAAACAUAUCAAUUGUAUCCAAAUGCAUAUUUUCCAUAUGUGUUUCAAUAAUUUUUAAUGCCUUUCUUGCUUCAGGUGUUAAUAUGCGGGGUGAAUUUGGAUCUGAUGGACCUUUUAGGAUAUCAAAUAAAGGUCCCAACUCUCCUGUUGGUAUGCCUAGAUAAGGCCGUAUCCAAUUUAUGUCUCCCAAUAACUUUUGAAAGUCGUUCAGUGAUUCGAGUUGAUCUACUCAUAUUUGAAUUUUUGGUGGACGGACCAUGGUUGAGGAUAAUAGAACUCCUAAAUAAUUAAUUGGAAAAUU